rnacentral:tRNA from 1 species
AGAAUAGUAUUUUAAUUCAAAAAAUCUAACCUGCACCUAGAAAAUGUAUCUACCUAUUCU